GCCACCCUGCCUGGCCUGUGUGUAGGUUUAUAUUUAUUUAUUUAUUUAUUUUAUGAGACAGAGUUUCACUCUUGUUGCCCAGGCUGGAGUGCAAUGGCACAAUCUCGGCUCACCGCAACCUCUGCCUCCUGGGUUCAAGCAAUUCUCCUGCAUCAGCCCCUUGAGUAGCUGGUAUUACAGGCAUGUGCCACCACGCCUGGCUAAUUUUGUAUUUUUAGCAGAGAUAGGGUUUCUCCAUGUUGGUCAGGCUGGUCUUGAACUCCCGACCUCAGGUGAUCCAUCCGCCUCAGCCUCCCAAAGUGCUGAGAUUACAGGCGUGAGCCACCGUACCCGGCCUGUGUGCAGAUUUUUAUAUGGAAGUUUCCAACCCAUUUGGGUAAAUACCAAGGAGUGUGAUGCCUGGAUCCUAUGGUCUUCUGCUAGAUUCCCCAUCCCAGACGGAGUUUGUGCCGUUCGGAGCCUGGUCCGCUGCCAACACACUCACUGACCUCAGUUUGUCCUGAUGCCAUCCCUCACUGUUCCAGGGCUUAAGACCUUGCUGAUACUCUUCAAUGUGUGACUUGGAAAGCUUCCAUUUCCAGGUUCAGUCCUCUCCACCUUGAUGGCCCCCUGCCUGGGCCUCUGCUCCACAUUCCUUGUGAGAAUCCCCUGCUGUCUUCCCUUCCCCCAGUUUUAACUCUCCCGGGUACCAGUGCCUGGACUGCCUCCUGCAUGCCAAUGCCUGGACACCACUAGGCACGACCCUCUUCCUCCCUGGCACUGCCUCCAUCAGUAGUCUGCAGUGGCUGCUGAUCCUUCCAGCUCGGGACCCCUUCUACUGCCUCUUUCUCUCCCCACCAGCAGGGAAGACUCCUGUGUGCUGCCUGAUGCCAGAGCCCACACAGGAACUGAGGACCACUCCCACCUGACCCCUUCCUUCCCACUGGUUUUCAAGCCUGGAAUCCCUAAUCCAUUGCAUUGCAUCUAGGCUUACUUGCACCUUGUUCAAGGUCCAUGAUCUUCUAUGGAGCCUCCUCUGAUGAGCAUGCAGGGGAUUUAAGUUCUAUCUCAUUGUAUUAGCCCAUUCUCACUCUGCUAAUAAAGACAUAUCUGAGACUGGGUAAUCUCUAAAGGAAAGAGGUUUAAUUGACUCACAGUUCCACAUGGCUCAGGAGGCCUCAGGAAACUUACAGUCAUGGCAUAAGGGGAAGCAAAUAUGUCCUUCUUCACAUGGUGGCAGCAAGAAGUGCCAAGCAAAAGGAGGAAAAACCCCUUAUAAAACCAUCAGAUCUUGUGAGAACUCACUAUCAGGAGAACAACAUGAGGCUAACCGCCCCCAUGAUUCAAUUACCUCCCACCAGGUCCCUCCCACAACACGUGGGGAUUAUGGGAACUACAAUUCAAGAUGAGAUUUGGAGGUGGGGAGGGAAACAGUCGAACCAUAUUACUCGUUCA
rnacentral:lncRNA from 10 species